rnacentral:rRNA from 1 species
UCGAACGGGAAAUAUUUCAUUGAGACUUCGGUGGAUUUGAUCUAUUUCUAGUGGCGGACGGGUGAGUAACGCGUGGGUAACCUGCCUUAUACAGGGGGAUAACAGUCAGAAAUGACUGCUAAUACCGCAUAAGCGCACAGGACCGCAUGGUCCGGUGUGAAAAACUCCGGUGGUAUAAGAUGGACCCGCGUUGGAUUAGCUAGUUGGUGAGGUAACGGCCCACCAAGGCGACGAUCCAUAGCCGGCCUGAGAGGGUGAACGGCCACAUUGGGACUGAGACACGGCCCAGACUCCUACGGGAGGCAGCAGUGGGGAAUAUUGCACAAUGGGGGAAACCCUGAUGCAGCGACGCCGCGUGAAGGAAGAAGUAUCUCGGUAUGUAAACUUCUAUCAGCAGGGAAGAUAGUGACGGUACCUGACUAAGAAGCCCCGGCUAACUACGUGCCAGCAGCCGCGGUAAUACGUAGGGGGCAAGCGUUAUCCGGAUUUACUGGGUGUAAAGGGAGCGUAGACGGUGUGGCAAGUCUGAUGUGAAAGGCAUGGGCUCAACCUGUGGACUGCAUUGGAAACUGUCAUACUUGAGUGCCGGAGGGGUAAGCGGAAUUCCUAGUGUAGCGGUGAAAUGCGUAGAUAUUAGGAGGAACACCAGUGGCGAAGGC